rnacentral:rRNA from 1 species
GACGAACCUUGCUAACGUUAUUCGGAAUUACUGGGCUUAAAGGGUGCGUAGGCGGCGCGGUAAGUCGGGUGUGAAAUCUCGGAGCUUAACUCCGAAACUGCAUUCGAUACUGCCGUGCUUGAGGACUGGAGAGGAGACUGGAAUUUACGGUGUAGCGGUGAAAUGCGUAGAUAUCGUAAGGAAGACCAGUGGCGAAGGCGGGUCUCUGGACAGUUCCUGACGCUGAGGCACGAAGGCCAGGGGAGCAAACGGG